rnacentral:rRNA from 1 species
AUGGUUAAGUUAGAAAGGGCGCACGGYGAAUGCCUUGGCACUAGGAGCCGAAGAAGGACGCGACGAACGGCGAAACGCCUCGUGGAGCUGUAAGUAAGCUUUGAAGCGGGGAUAUCCGAAUGGG